rnacentral:rRNA from 1 species
GAUGAACGCUGGCGGCGUGCCUAAUACAUGCAAGUCGAGCGGCAGCACGGUCUUCGGACUGGUGGCGAGCGGCGGACGGCUGAGUAACGCGUAGGAACGUACCCCAAAGUGAGGUAUAACUGCUCGAAAGAGUAGCUAAUACUGCAUGUUGUCUAAGGAUUAAAGCUUCGGCGCUUUGGGAACGGCCUGCGUAAGAUUAGCUAGUUGGUGAGGUAAUGGCUCACCAAGGCGAUGAUCUUUAGCUGGUCUGAGAGGAUGAUCAGCCAGACUGGGACUGAGACACGGCCCAGACUCCUACGGGAGGCAGCAGUAGGGAAUUUUCCACAAUGGGCGAAAGCCUGAUGGAGCAACGCCGCGUGCAGGAUGAAUGCCUUCGGGUUGUAAACUGCUUUUAUAUGUGACGAUUAUGACGGUAGCAUAUGAAUAAGGAUCGGCUAACUCCGUGCCAGCCGCCGCGGUAA